rnacentral:lncRNA from 1 species
AAUAUAUUAAAAAUACCUUUUUAAAAAACCUUAUACUUUUUUACAGUGCUAAAAAACUAGUCUUGAGAAGUACCUAGAAUUCUGACUUGUGGCAAGGGAUGGAGCUAUGGUGUGGACGGAGCUCUGGACGACAAUGGUGGCCUUGUUUUAGAUACAGCAGUGUUUGGGGAUCAUUACAUUAUGGGCUUUACGAGUCUGGUGCACCACUGCAUUCUCCCACCUGUCAGCUCGAUGCACAGUGGGCACUCCAUCGAUACUGAGAGAUGGUUACCUGGAAGAAUGGAGUGGUAGUAAGGACAUGGGGUGCCCACCUUUAAAUGCCAGGCAGAUUUUUUUUUUUCAUUUGAUUUAGUAGGAGGCAUGAAGAAACUUAAGCAGGAAGUUUCCUGAAGACUUCAAAACAAAGCCAGGCUGCUCUCUCUAGAGCAGCCCUAAUCAUAGAUCGUGGUUAGCAGUGUUGUUGGGCUGUUCUUUCCUACCCAGAAUGAUCAACAGACAUGAGAGAAAGAUACAAAAGCAUUUAGAGUCACUUGACGAAGACGCUGGCUGGCAUCUUGCGUCAUGGAUCUGUUUUAUUUCUACUGCAGCUAGUUUCAUUACAUUUUGCAAAGGUCCCCAGGAGAACGUGAGUUAGAAAUAAGACAAGGAGCUAGGGCCGUCGUUCACUUGUCAGUCAGAGUGCUUGCUUGACAUACUUGAGGCCCUGUGUUCAAUUCCCCGUACUACGAAAGGGUGGGUGUGCUAGCCCACAUCUGCAUCCAGCCCACAUCUGCAUCCAGCACACAUCUGCAUCCAGCCCACAUCUGCAAUUCCAGCGCAAGAGGAUCAGAAGCUCAAGGUCUUGCCUGUUAUAUAGCAAGUGUGUGGUAGCCCCUGAGUCAUGAGAUGUAUGGGUGGGGCAGGGAAGAUAAAGAGGAAGGGAAAGAGGAAAAGGAAAGAAGAGAGAGAGGAAGAAAGAAAUGCAAAAGCAGGUGCUCUGGGUUUCAGUCCCAGGAGUCCCAGAAACGCUGUUUGCACAGGAGGGAGGUUCCUCUCCCUGGGCCUGCUGUAGUAGGUAGCAUCCCCAGAAACUCUAAUGGAAAUCCCUUGUUUGCUGUUGUAGUCCUCGCCUGCCAAGAGCAGUGUGGCCGAGGCAGGCCUGGGGUGAGCAUGCCCUGGUGAGGUAAUGGAGGGAACCCUGGUGCAUCCUCCUUUGGCUGGUCCCUGCGUCUCUGAAUCAGGGAUCUGGGCAGCAGGGGUGAAAGCUGGGUCACCCUUCCUGACCUCUCUGCUGAUAGGUGGUAGCUGGACCCAUCUAACUGGUCUUCCAUGGGAGCUAUAAGGAGUUGCCCACUUGACAUCUUUGAUCCAGAGACUUCUCUGUGGGGCUACAGGCGACCACAGUAAGAGCUGAGGACUCACACUGAUUGUCUGAAAUUUUUCACAUUGAGUUUCUUUUUGCUGUUGCUUCUGGGGUUCUCAUAAAUUGAUAAGCACUUUUUAAAAAAUCUGUAUGAUACUAACAAAAAAUCUGGAAGCAGUAGAACCAUGUAAGUGUGACGGCCCUGUGAUACAGUUAUUUUAAAUUAUGUUUGUAUUUUCCUAAUGUCUUCCUAAUGUUUUAGUAUGUAUUAUUUAUAAUUAUGUGCACAUAUGCUUCUUCUUGUAUAUGUUGAUGUAUGUGUGCUUGUGUUGAACAGCAUUAAAGAUUUUGAAAUAUG